GAGUUUGAUCCUGGCUCAGAUUGAACGCUGGCGGCAUGCUUUACACAUGCAAGUCGAACGGCAGCACGGGUGCUUGCACCUGGUGGCGAGUGGCGAACGGGUGAGUAAUGCAUCGGAACGUACCCAGUCGUGGGGGAUAACGCACCGAAAGGUGUGCUAAUACCGCAUACGUCCUGAGGAGAAAGCGGGGACCGAAAGGCCUCGCGCGAUUGGAGCGGCCGAUGUCUGAUUAGCUAGUUGGUGGGUAAAGGCUCACCAAGGCGACGAGUCAGUAAGCUGGUCUGAGAGGAUGAUCAGCCACACUGGGACUGAGACACGG
rnacentral:rRNA from 1 species